CAUGGAGCCAAGCAAGAAAUGCCUUUUGGGUUGUAAGCAACUGAGAUUUUUAAGUCUCUUGUUACUACAGAACAGCAUAAUCCAUGCUGAUUGAUACAAGAAUUAACACAGCUGGACUUAGAGUUAUGAAGACUUCCUUUGACAUGCCAAGGCAAUCUAGUCAUUUACUGCAGUGGUUCUUAAUAGAGGGCAGUUGAGGCCCUUCCCGCCCCUAGAAGACAUUUGGCAAUGUUUGGAGACAUUUUUAAUCGCCACAACCGGGGGUUUGUGCUGUUGCUACCUACUGGCACCUAGAGAAGAGCCACCAAGGAUGCUGCUCAACAUCCUACACUGGGGAAGACAGCUGCCUGCAACAAAGAAUCAUCCGGAAAAUGUCAAUAGUGCUAAGGUUGAGAAACCCUGACUUACUCAUUCAACAAGUAAGAAGUGCGUGCCUCUUAUGUGUUCAUACUGUUCUAGGAACUGUGAACAGCUCGACAAAACUCCUGCCUUCCCAGAGCUUACAUAGUAGUGGGAUAUACUGGAAGCUGAAUUUGUUCAAACUCAGUAUUUGCCAAAACAAGCAAAUAAACAAAAUUCGAGUUAUAAAAACAACCACUUUGGAUCUCAAAGAGAGUUCAUCUUGAAUCCCAACUACGAAAACCACUGAACCAAGCUGUGGUAGAUGGACUUGCAUUAUUCCAGCAAAUUAAAUCUUCUUCUCAGGGAAGAACGUACCUGCUUUCGUCUUCCUGUGUCUCUUGGAGCAAGGAGGAAAAACAUGUGAGCUCCCAGCACAGCAUGGCCACUAACAGAGCAGUGUACGUCCACACCUAGAACUGAACCUGGGCCGCUGAAGCAGAGCACGCCAAACAACCACUAGGCCACUGGGGCUGGCCCUAUUUCUAUUUCUAUCCUUGUUUUAAAAAAAGAUACAUGGAGCACAACAGCUUUGAGUUAAUCUCGCGUCACCCACUGCAAUGUUUGAAUAAAGUAACAGAAGCCCAAGGAAUGGAGGCAUCUUGCCUAAAGUCUUCUUCCCCAGGAAAGAGUCUAGCAUAAGGGAUGAUGAUAUCUACUUCCUUUCUCUUUUCCUGCCAGCUGGGACCCAUAUGUGAUGAUAGGAGCAGGAGCAGCCACCUUGGAGUCAAAGAUGAAAGUCAUGUCUGGAGGAUGAUGUCAUCUGACCUCUGAUCUGUUACAAGAUAGCACUUUGUUCAUGCGAUUGUGUUUUGAAAUUUGUUUGGAGGUUUGUUAGAGUGCCUUAGACUGUACCCUGAUGCAAUGUCCCUCAAUGCUCAAUUCAAAUGGCAUGUACUCUGGGAAGAUUUCCAGAUUUCCACCUCCUUUGGUCAUAUACCAAUCAGAACUGAUCACUCUUAUCCCAGUGCUCUCUGUAUUUUGAAAAUAUUUUUAUCAGCACUUAUAAUCCUCUAGUUUUAUUAUAGUGAUUUUAAUUUAGUAUCAGUUGCCCAACAUAGAAGCCUUACCUAUGCUACUGCCUAAGCUGGGCACCCCUGUCCUGUGCUCUCAUAACACCCUGUACGUCUAUCCAACAACUAUACUUAAAUUUACUUUUUUAGUAUUUAUCUUCCUACUGUCCUGUAUAAGCUCCACAUGGACAGAACCUUGGCUGCCUUUCUGGUAACUGUAUCUCCAGUUCCCACAGGAAAUCUGGGACAUAACAGGCACAUAGCAAAUGUUUGUUGGAUAAACAAAUGAUCUCCUUAAAGUAUGGAUUACUUACAUUUGUA
ensembl:lncRNA